AGAUUGAAUGCUGGCGGCAUGCCUAACACAUGCAAGGUCGAGCGGCAGCNCGGGGGCGACCCUGGCGGCGAGCGGCGGACGGGUGAGUAAGGCAUCGGAAUCUGCCCUGAUGUGGGGGAUAACGUUAGGGAAACUUACGCUAAUACCGCAGUACGACCGAGAGGUGGAAGCGGGGGACCGAAAGGCCUCGCGCAGCAGGAUGAGCCGAUGUCCGAUUAGCUGGUUGGUGGGGGUAACGGCCCACCAAGGCGACGAAUCGGUAGCUGGUCUGAGAGGAUGAUCAGCCACACUGGGACUGGAGACACGGCCCAGACUCCUACGGGCGGCAGC
rnacentral:rRNA from 1 species